rnacentral:lncRNA from 1 species
GUUUUUUUUGUUGUUGUUUUUUUUUCUAAUGAAUGGUUUCAGGUAUGAUGAAUCUCAAAAAGGGAAAAAAAAUAAAAAAGAUAGAGGCAUUGACUCAGUUAUCCAGCUCUCAGAUACAUCAAAUAAAUUGCCCAGCUCCUCUCAAUAAUCAUCUGCUUUCCUGAGCCAAAUUAACUAAAUUAAAUUUCCAGAAGUCUUGUUAGUACAGUGAACCGAGGCUUUGCCCCCUAAUUUAUUACAGCUUUCAUUUCAUUUCCGUUAUCUGACUCAACCCUUCAUUUCAGAACUGGUCAAUUUUGAAGCAAGUAGGUUGGGUAGCACAUGGAAAAAGCCAUGUGCUGGACCGCAACAGAGCCCGAAAAGCAGCAGCUGCUGUGGGAGCAGCCGCCCCGUCCCUGGGCUGCCCGGCGUGGUGUCACCCAUCCCGGUGUGGUGUCACCCAUCCCGGUGUGGUGUCACCCAUCCCGGUGUGGUGCCACCCAUCCCGGUGUGGUGUCACCCAUCCCGGCGUGGUGUCACCCAUCCCGGUGUGGUGUCACCUAUCCCUGAAUGUUGCCGUGGCUACGAACGAGGCUCGGCAGCAAAGGCUGCUGCGGAAAUGAGAUUGCCAUGGCACCGAGGCAAGCAGGAUGCUGUGCUGGGCAGGGUAUGAACAUGCUCAGAUCGUGCCUUUGGAUAUCCAGACAACUCCCUUUUAAGAUCGUCACAUGGACCAGCAGAAGAAAUCGGCAGAGAUGGCAUGCUUUGAAAUUACCAACACUUCAGUUUAUUAACCUAGGAAAUAAAAAAAAAACACAAGUUAAUUAUCCUACCCUUGGAUGGACUGCGUUAUUGAUUCCUUGCACUGCUGAAGCAUUGACCAGCUCCCAGAGGAGCUGCGCGGGCUGCACGAGAUGCAUUCCCUAACCCGGUGAGCACCGCACACGUACCAGGAACCCCGGCGGUGGAGGCAGGUGGCACUUGCAGGGCAGGGUGUGCAGGACCACCGCCAGGAGCAAUGCCUGACCCCAUUGCACAGCUCCCCAAGUAGGCUCUGUGGGCCAGCGCUGGAAAAAAAUGGGCCCACAAAUGAAGGGAGGGGGG